ensembl:lncRNA
GUACUUCAUAAAGUUACUUAUACAGGGCAACACCUUCUAAAAUAAAACAGGAGGCAGAGACUGUGACAGUGAGCCCUCAGUUUUGAAGGCCUUCAGCACAAACCAAGGAUGAAUAUUUGGUCUGAACUGAGGUGCAAUUCUCUAGCAGUGUCAGCCUUGCCAUUUUGUUUUUCACAUGGAUGUUUGUGGGUAGAUCCAGAGAAAUUACUGUGACAGCUCUGCUGUGGCACUGCCUUCCACCAAGCUGUUCUUCAUCCAGAGUAGAGGUUUCUGCAUGCAGAGCAGUGGCAGGCUUGCAGUGAGGGGGAGGUCGUGGAAGUGGAUGUGGACAACCCAGAUAAUUUUUAGUACUAGGGCAUGCUUGUGAUAAAGUUGGAGGAAGAUGCUUGGGCUGCUGAUGCUAGACCUUGAUUGUGCUGCAACAAUGCUUGCUGCCUUGUGGAAGAUCCUGCCCACAAAACCAGACACCACAAACAGUGGGCUUUUGGAGGCAACUUGGAGGGCUUCCAGUCAUCAGGGCCAAAGUCUCACUGGCACUGCCCUACUGGCAUGUCCCUGGUGGAACUAAGCUGCAGGUUGCUGCAUAUCAAAUGGGGAUGAUCCAGCUCAGGUGAAUUCAUGCUUUUCCAAGGUGAGUACUAAUGCUCUCUGCCACUUCUUGGGACUCUCUGUGAUGUCCUGGACACUCACCAUUAUUUAAGAUCCUACAUAACUUUUCACAUUGUUAGCACCAUUAGCUACUAUUAGGCGAUCAUACAUUUAAUUCUCUGAGCUUUACAUUAUCUCUUUGAUUUAAUGUAGAUAAACUGUUGUUUUUUUAAGCUGCUAAAUAUUAUUAGAGUCUGACUCUCCCAGCCUGUGCCAGUGAUGGGCAAAUUGAAUCCUAUUUUAUGUGUAAUUUCUCAAUCAGAGAACAAAGUGCUUUGGCAAUCUGGAUCAAAGGCACAAGUCAUUAUUAUUGUUGGAAUAGUGAAGUGAGCUCCUGGAAAAAUCGUGCUGACUUCUUCUUUGUAGGAUGCCUGCACUGUGGAGCCUUUGAUGUCUAAUGGUCUGGCACCAUAACUUGUGUAGAUAUAGCAUUGCCUGUAAACAGAAAGAGGUAACGAAUGAGUAGAUCAUUAUUUAUUACUUUUAAGACUUCAGAACACAACUCAGAAAUCCCAUGUGCAUGAAGCAAUCCAUAUAAGACAAAAGAUAUUAGAAAGAGAGUGAUGAGUGAGCCUUUCAUUUGAUCUAGCAGGGCCAUUCCAUUUUUUAAUUUUAUUUUUUUUUUCAAAUUCUUCAUCCUAUUUUAGAUGGACGUUCCAUCAGGAAGAUGAGGUAUUCUCACUCUACAUCUUUAAAACUGGUGUUGUUGGAAGAUCAGUGUUGUUCUUUGUGUUGUUUUUCCUGAACUCUGUGCUCCCCAAACUACUGUGAAAGCAAUGAAUAUAUUCCCAUGGCAACAGAAGCACAGAGCCUGGGAACUGAUCUCAGCAGGGCUCCUCCUCUGGCAAUCCCCAGCUGGUGUAAAUCGAGCAUUUCUCGUGCUGGCACAGGUAGAUGCUGAGGAAGGCAUCAUUUUGGGU